rnacentral:rRNA from 1 species
CAAGGAAUUUUCGGCAAUGGGCGCAAGCCUGACCGAGCAACGCCGCGUGGAGGAUGACGGCUUUCGGGUUGUAAACUCCUUUUGGGAGGGACGAUAAUGACGGUACCUUCCGAAUAAGCCCCGGCUAACUCUGUGCCAGCAGCCGCGGUAAUACAGAGGGGGCAAGCGUUGUCCGGACUCACUGGGCGUAAAGGGUGCGUAGGCGGUUUGGAGCGUUCGCGCUGAAAUCCCACAGCUUAACUGCGGGGCGCGUGCGAAUACGUCCAGACUCGAGGCAGGGAGAGGAUGGGGGAACUCCUGGUGUAGUGGUGAAAUGCGUAGAGAUCAGGAAGAACACCCGUGGCGCAAGCGCCCAUCUGGUCCUGUCCUGACGCUGUGGCACGAAAGCGUGGGGAGCGAACCG